rnacentral:rRNA from 1 species
AUUGAACGCUGGCGGCAUGCCUUACACAUGCAAGUCGAACGGUAACAGGUCUUCGGCUGCUGGCGUCAGGCGCACGGGGGUGUAAUACAUCUGAACGUGUCCGAUCGUGGGGGAUAACGCAUCGAAAACUUUGCUCUUACAGCGUACGCUCUACGGAUGAGAGAGGGGGGCCGCAAGGCCUUGCGCGCACUGAGCGGCCGAUGGCAGAUUAGGUAGUUGGUGGGGUAAAAGCUUACCAAGCCGACGAUCUGUAGCUGGUCUGAGAGGACGAACAGCCACACUGGGACUGAGACACGGCCCAGACUCCUACGGGAGGCAGCAGUGGGGAAUAUUGGACAAUGGGCGAAAGCCUGAUCCAGCCAUGCCGCGUGCAGGAUGAAGGCCUUCGGGUUGUAAAGUGCUUUUGUACGGAACGAAAAGACGCUAGUUAAUACCUGGGGUCCAUGACGGUACCGUAAGAAUAAGCACCGGCUAACUACGUG